GAGAUUGGCACAAGGGUUUUGGAAGGAGCUGUCUCUUUAAAAAGGCUUCUGAGUUUCUCAAAAGAGGCUGAAAGUCAAUAUUGUUUGCUGUAAUUAAUGGCCUCUACAGCUCAGGCACCAGCCUUAGGCAAAUCCACCCCAAAAAUCCCCUGGAAUAACCACCACCACUUUGAUGAUAGAGUAUGAGGUGACUUGCCUUGCGUUGCAGUAAAUUGCCGUGUGGGAAGAGCAAACCAGCCUCGCCGCUUCCCUCCGGAAAGCUCCUGCGCAGGCGUGGGAUCCUCUGCCCCCCGCCUGCAGGGAAACUGGGAAACGGGGACCGUGCCCUGCGAGUCACAGAUGGUCAUUGCCAGGAUCUGAAGGUACCAUGUCUAAUGAGUAUCUGUCCCCGGGGAAGGGAGGCUGUGGGCACCGGAGGAAGGGCUGAUCUGCAAAGGGUGUGUGGCAGUGAAGCGGCACCUCCCAAUAGGACACAAAGAGGGUUCACCCAUCUCUGGCAAGAUGCAGUGCCCAGGAAACCCCAGAAAGCUCAUUUUCUGCUACCAAAGGGGAAAUAAGAGAUUAGAAAACAAAAAUCACUGUAAGAGUUGCCUUCAAAACUCCGGCAGCAGAUUUAAAUGUAUUCUCUAGUUACUUCUUCACCUCCACAGCUCAGCUCAAAUUCCUCAUAACUGUUUCCUUUACAUCAAAGACACAGAAACUUGAAAUAAAAAUAAUAAUCAAAGCGACAAACAAAUCAUGAAGCAAAAAAGGCUUCUUAAAGCAGCGGGGGAGCCAGGUCUCCCUUCAUUUGCUUAAGGAGAACCCAAAGACGGAGCCUUGCAGUUGCUUACUAAAAUAUGGGGUCACAUGGGAAGGCUCUUGGCUAAAUCCUCCACCCCAACAUGCAGAGCUAGGCUCAGGUGAGCCUGGUUUAAAACUGUGCUUCCAAACAGAGCAGCUUACACUGAAAAAGAGCUGGGGGCACAGGAGAAACGCCAUCCAGCCCUGGAGGCAGCCGGGCAGAGAGUUUGCCAGGGCUGGAAAAGGGGUCAGACACCUCACCAGGGGCUCCCAGUAGCCGAAUGUCACCUGCAAUUACACUAAUUAGGCUAAUGGCAAACAUGACUUUCCAUGAACAGAGCCCAGGGUGGGGGGGUGUCGCAUACUACAGCUCCACUGAUACUGGUUUGAAUCAUCAGCUGGAAACGAGAUAGCCGCAUCCGCCAAGAAUAAAUAUUUCUAUCCUCGGCUCAGAUUUAUUGUCAUCGGAGGCUGAUGCGAGCACGGGAGGACCCACGGACACCUGAUACGAGACAUACCAGCUGUUCCACAGACGGCCGGGUGGGAAGCAGACCUCCACGUUACGCUCAGAAUUUGUGGCCAAUUCAUUCUCCAGGCUGCAGUAGUAAAUACCGCACGUUGUAUACGCGCCCAGCACAAGAGUGAUUGCUCUGGCAGCCACCGGUGCACUCCUGGGAAGUUUCCUGUGCAUUAAGUGCUUUUGACACUAAUGUUGGUGCCUAAGCAAACACAUUAGGAUGACUAAAACACCAGGGCUGCAAAGAAUCACAGAGCACACAAGCUGGAAACGCAGCGGCAGACCCAGAGCGAGAGAAAAGCAACGUGCUUUUGUUUUUAAGGCUGGCCUUUGGUCUCUCCUGCCUUUGCACGGUUGUAAAAUAGGUAUGGUGAGAUGUUUAUGGGUGAGGCGGUAGUUCCUCGUGACACUUCAGUGCUAUUUAAGAAGCACACCUAAAUAUUCUGCAUUAAAAAGUCAGGUGAGCUCGUGUGAAAAGUAAUUUAAUUUGAUUGUGCUCUUUGCAGAUAUGGGAAGUAAACCCACAGCCUGCACUCGGUAGAAUUACAAUGUUGUAAGGACAGCUGAAAUGAGAAGAAAUUCAGGUUCAUUACCCAUAGUACUUGGCGCUGCUGCAGAGCACUAAAGGUUUUGUUGCACAGAUUUGCAACCCAGAUAUUCACAUUUGGAAGAACUUGAGAUUCGGGGGAUUAUAAAGGAUGUGUGGGAGUAUUAGGCAGUUCUCCACACUGAAGAUGAAAAAGGCUCUCACAGAAAUACUUAAUGGCCUUUGAAACAAGAAGAAAGCACGCAGGAUAUUUUUAGAAGCCCGCCUGCACUUGCCAACACCUGCUUCUGCUGAUGGCAGAGGCUCCCGAGUGCCGACACCCAGCACCUCUGGAUGCCACACCUCAUUGGAGAUUUAUACAAGAUUUUUAUACAACAUUAUCUGCUGCUGCCAUAAGAAAAAGGGGACCUUGAAGUGCACGUGCUUGGCUGGAGCAGGGAGAGAACCCCAACUAAAGCAUCCCUGAAAAGUCACCUCUGAAAAACUUCCUAGGACUUUGGUUCCUGUUCUGCAAACUGAGAACAUGUUUGUGCUUCGAAGAUGCCACCCUGGAUCACAGGAGGUUGCAUGCUGGUGACAUCCCGCAGUGUACAAGGACCAAGGUGGGACUUGGUCGGCGAGACUUUGACAGCUCACUCCUUUGCCCAUCUCUUCUCUUGGUUAAGGACAUGGUACCUCCAACCAGGACAUCUCUUCAGGACUUCUUUCUGAAAAGUCAAAUGGUGGCUGCCAUCCAAAGACACUGGCACUAGACAGUUAUGGAAAUGCUGAAGUGAUGCGAGUUAAAAUUUAUUUGGAACUGACACUUCAAAGCAGCAUAAAAAUACAGAGCGGUUCUGUGUUUUGCAUGUUUACCUACCACUCCAAAGAACGGUUAGAAGCAGGUUGAUAAGUGAGGGUUUGUAAUUAUCCUGUGUGUUUUUCCUUUUACCCCGUUUACCAUAAGUUUCCUUAAAAAUAGACACACACACACCCUGGAAUGAAGCAUUUUCCCAUGAAAGACUACCAGUGUCAGAUUGUGUAAGCUCUUAGGAAAUUACUUGUUGUUACUUGUUUGGUUUUGAUAUUAAAAAUGUGUAGUGUCUGAA